GACAGUCAGAGCGGACAGAAGGGAGCUUGCUCCCGGAUGUUAGCGGCGGACGGGUGAGUAACACGUGGGUAACCUGCCUGUAAGACUGGGAUAACUCCGGGAAACCGGAGCUAAUACCGGAUAGUUCCUUGAACCGCAUGGUUCAAGGAUGAAAGACGGUUUCGGCUGUCACUUACAGAUGGACCCGCGGCGCAUUAGCUAGUUGGUGGGGUAAUGGCUCACCAAGGCGACGAUGCGUAGCCGACCUGAGAGGGUGAUCGGCCACACUGGGACUGAGACACGGCCCAGACUCCUACGGGAGGCAGCAGUAGGGAAUCUUCCGCAAUGGACGAAAGUCUGACGGAGCAACGCCGCGUGAGUGAUGAAGGUUUUCGGAUCGUAAAGCUCUGUUGUUAGGGAAGAACAAGUGCGAGAGUAACUGCUCGCACCUUGACGGUACCUAACCAGAAAGCCACGGCUAACUACGUGCCAGCAGCCGCGGUAAUACGUAGGUGGCAAGC
rnacentral:rRNA from 1 species